GGUGAGUAACACGUGGGUAACCUGCCUGUAAGACUGGGAUAACUCCGGGAAACCGGAGCUAAUACCGGAUAGUUCCUUGAACCGCAUGGUUCAAGGAUGAAAGACGGUUUCGGCUGUCACUUACAGAUGGACCCGCGGCGCAUUAGCUAGUUGGUGGGGUAAUGGCUCACCAAGGCGACGAUGCGUAGCCGACCUGAGAGGGUGAUCGGCCACACUGGGACUGAGACACGGCCCAGACUCCUACGGGAGGCAGCAGUAGGGAAUCUUCCGCAAUGGACGAAAGUCUGACGGAGCAACGCCGCGUGAGUGAUGAAGGUUUUCGGAUCGUAAAGCUCUGUUGUUAGGGAAGAACAAGUGCGAGAGUAACUGCUCGCACCUUGACGGUACCUAACCAGAAAGCCACGGCUAACUACGUGCCAGCAGCCGCGGUAAUACGUAGGUGGCAAGCGUUGUCCGGAAUUAUUGGGCGUAAAGGGCUCGCAGGCGGUUUCUUAAGUCUGAUGUGAAAGCCCCCGGCUCAACCGGGGAGGGUCAUUGGAAACUGGGAAACUUGAGUGCAGAAGAGGAGAGUGGAAUUCCACGUGUAGCGGUGAAAUGCGUAGAGAUGUGGAGGAACACCAGUGGCGAAGGCGACUCUCUGGUCUGUAACUGACGCUGA
rnacentral:rRNA from 1 species